UUAAUCAAUCGCACUCAUGAUUUUCUACGUUCGGUUCACUCACAUCCACGAUCGACAUUCGACAAUCCACAUGGGAUUGUACCCUUAUUUUCCAACAAGUAUUUUUACAGUGUAGAAAUAGCUUGAAAUAAUGAUCUGAAAUCUCAAUCUCAAAAGUAAUGGUAAUGACUAGAAUGUCAUUCUCCAUCUCAUGUUAGUAAAGAUAUUUGGAAAAAGACAAACAGGCUCUCUGCAUUCAGGUCUGCGGGAACCGUCGCAUACUUUCUAGAAUAACCUUCUUGACCUUCAAAUCAUGAUGAGUGUCUACUUCAGCAUUCUUAUCAUUCAUUUGUCUUGUGUUCAGUGAUUCACUUAUAUUUCAUUGUUGUUGUGAAACUCGUCGAGUUGUCGAGUCGUCGAGUCGUCGAGGAGAGAUCUUUUGCCAUAGUGAAUAGUGAAAACGUAGUGUUGGAUUACAGUUUAUUGUGUAAUUAGAACACUCCAUAGUUAUCUACACGGUAAAAUCACAGAAAGUAUAAAGUGAUAAAGAUGCUUCAGUAAGAUGCAAGAUCCAAAGGGUACACAAUAACGACGCCAUUAGUGUGUGCUUUGUUGUUCCGUUAUUUGGAGUAAUAAAGACAACAGUCAAAUUGAGUCAUUUAAAAUCAGUGUCAUUAUCAAGUAAAAUACUGAAAACUCCUGAAACCAAUUGUUUGGAUUCUUGUCAUAUUUAUAUACAUUAUAAAUAGAAAAGACAAUGAGAUUGGAAAAAGAUUUGGUUAUUCGUAGAAGCAGACCAACUAUGAUAUCCGCUAAAUAUCGAGCUCGAGAGGAACGCCGCAGACUUAUGAAAAUUUCAGCUAAUAAACUGAAACGCAUAGAAGAUCCUGAAACAAGUUUAUGUAGAUCAGUUUUAAUAAAUAAUGCAGUGAGAAGAUUACAACGUGAGAAUAGAGACGAAAAGACGAGAAAUUUGAAUCUGCCAGUUGUUUCUUAUCUUCAUGGCUCGUCUAAAGAAAACAACAUCUCCAGAAAUAUUCUGAUUGAUGUUGUGGAUAGUAAUAUUUCACCUAGGAAAAGGUUGAGUGAUAACGAAAGAGGUGAGAAUUCAAAAAGGCAAAAAAGUAGUGAUAUCGCUCUUCAAGAGGACGUCUUCAGCGACUUCUACAUCCUUCCUUCGUCUCCAAGAUUACUGCCGCACUUUGAUAAUAUCACAGAAGCACAAACGUCUGAUUACAGGCCAAUGGAAAUGUUUGACAACAGACUUGGCAUGGAAACUUAUAGUACUAAUUACAAUACUGCGUACAGCACUCACAACACAAGUUUAGAUAACACGGUAUUUACUUCUUUGAAUAAUUCUCCGAGAAACAAUGCCGUCGACUUAAUGGAGAUGAAUGAAAUUGACUCGGAGAGAAUAUGCGGUUAUGCAAGGUUCACUGAUUCAUCAAAGUCACUGGAAGAGCAUUUAGCCGAGCUGCAAACUCUAGAUGAGCAAUUUGACUUGGCAAAAUUUGAGCGCAAUAAUAAUCAAAGUUGUGGAAGAGCUUUUCACGAUAUUCAAACGUUUCACAGUCUUGUGCCAGGACUGGAAACAUAAGAAUUUUAUAAUUUAAUGUCCAAAUCCUUUUUAUAUGAUACAAGAUAAAUGGUUCAAAAUUCUCAAUAACAGGCAAAAUAGAGUGGAACGUCUCUAAUUUCAAUAUUCUCUUUUGGGCGGCGCUUCAAAUUAUAGACUCGAGACGUAAUAGGGGCAAUUACAAUACAUUUUUCGUUUACUUGAAAAUCGUCACUUAUAACAGUGACGUCAUGAUUUUACUGCGGUUGGAGGUCAAAGUAGGGGAAAGUCAAAGCAAUAAUUUUGAAAUUAGAGACAUUCGAAAAAGCUGCUUAAUUUGUUUAAGGUACUUUUUAACACUUUUUUUCUCUGAAUGUGGUUUUUUCUUCAUAAUUAUCGUCAUGAAGAUCCAUUAAAAAACUUAUUAUAUUUAAAUAAUUUCAGAUAAAAAUUCAUAUCCUGAAUUUAUUAAAGAUGAGAUAAUUACAUCGAAAAAAUUAUACCUUGCGCAAGGUUUAUUAAACUGUUAAAAGUUAUUAGAAGAUUUGUUUUUGUACAGUUGCAAUCUAAUGUGUAAGAGUAAUCGGGAGUGAGAAAUAAAAAAAUCCUAAAACAUCGAAUAACCUGGGAUGUUUAUUUUAUCGAAAAACCAAGUUUUUUGAUGAGAUAAAAAUUCAUAGUUAUCUGACAUUUUGAGAUUUCAUUAAUUGAUUGUUCGAUGUUUCAGGUUUUAUAGAAAAUUUAUAUACUUGAAAACUAAUACACAAACAUAUUAACCUUUAAGUUUGGAUAGCAAAUGUAAAGAGCCUAUUUAAAUGAAAUAUUGAAAAGCAAAACACCUUACCUUCAAAUAAAUUGCUUAUUUUGUUUGUUAUAGAUUUUAAUUUUUAACUAUAAGUAAUAAAAUUGCAAAAAAGGUUUUUUAAGCUCUUCGCGUAGAAGGCGAUGAGCUGAUUUUUGAAGUACAAAACUUUGCUUUUAGUAAAUUCUUGAGAUAUUAAAUCACGAUAUUUCUCUUUUUUGGAAGUAUGGAUUGAAAGUAAUGGUACUUGGAAAUUUGAACGAUAUAUAAGCUUGCAUCAACCAUGGAAAUAUUAUAACUGUUCAUUUAAAAUAUGCACUACUUAUUAAUUGUUAAUUAAUUCUUGAAACUUAACACUAAAAAGGCAAUUCCUCAGUUGCUGCAAAAGUAUCGUUCUACCGGAGCGUAUAUCGUGGUUCUUUAUUCGUUUAUUCUCUAUUUUUACGUUAUCUCUUUCACGCCCAUGGUACAUAAUUUCAACAAAGUUUCAGAGAAAGACAUAAAUUAUUGUAUUUUAACAUUUACUUACGAUUCAGUAAUUAAUUAUUUUUGCUUAAAACUUGUUACUUGGGCGAUUUUUGGGUUACUAAUUACAAAUUUGAAGUCAGUUUCAAAAAUCAAAAUAACGAAUUAAGUAUUGAGAAAGAUUGUUACAAACAGUUUUAAACAGUUUAUUCACCAUUUUCAGUUCUUAAAAUAUGUUCUCAUAUUGCCCUUCAAAACUACUGACAAUGAGUAAAGGGUUUUAAGCAAAUUUGAAUGGUUUUUCAGAAUUCUUCCUAAAUUUUCAUUCUUAUAAACCAGCUAUUAUGUACAGUGCAGCUCAAUAACUUUUGACCACCAUACGGAAAUUAUGAACUUUACAAAAAGUUUUGUAUUUUGUUUAUUAUUAAAGUUACGAAGCUCGAAAAAGUCUCAUUGGAAAGCUCAUUUCCUAAUUUAUGAAACACUACAUAAAACAAAAAUAAAAAAAAAUGUUUGUGAAUGUUUAAUCAAUGUUUUGGCAAAAGAAAAUUUCACAUUUUUUUUAAAUGAUACAACUUUUUAGGAAAUUAAAUUGAUAAUAAAUAAAUUUCUAGUUUUACUUGGGUGUGAAAGGGACUAUAAUUAGUGAUAAUGAUUCUUGGUCAUUUUUUGUUCAUUUAUUUUUCUUUCCUUACAUCUGUUUUUAAAAACUUAAAAGGCUUUCCAUUUGUUUCAAUUCAAUUUGUUUCAAUAUUCGCCAUAAAAUAUGCCUUUGUAAAACCUGGGGGUUAAUACUGUAGAGUAUUUACAUAAAGAGACCAAAUGAAAUUUCGGAUAAUAGAUUUUUACUUAAAAACUUGUUCAUUUUUAUAAGUAAAAAUAUUUGCUCAAAAUUGUUUAAAUAGAACAGCUUCCAUAAAUGUCUGAAUGUCACGCACUAUUGCAAACAUUAGCGCCAUUUUUUCUACAAAUCGUCACAAAUUUCUCAACUUCUCUAUCCUUCUUGCACCGAGACAUAAUUUAUGGAAGCCAUUUAAACAAUUUUGAACGAAUGUGUCCUAUACACGCACUAUUAUUUUUACGCAAAAACUUGAUUUUAUCAAACUUUAUACCAAUAAAUUACAGCAGGUUGAAUAAAACUGAUAAAGGUGCUUUGAGAAGAGAUGGACUCACUGAAUAGCAUUUUAUAUGUAAAUUUGGUCUCGUAAUGUCUGUAACUACACUGAGAAAAUUUUGCUCGAAUUGUUGCUUUUGCUGCAAGUGGCAGCGCAUCAUUGACCAACAUCUUUUCAGUGUACUAGAUAAGAACUCAACUGUUUAUUAUUAUGAGUGUAAAAUAUUGAUAUUGUACUAAUUGCAUUCACCUUAUGGUGCUUAUAAUUCUUAGGCUUUGCUAAUAAGAAAAUUCGAUAAAAAAAAAGUAGCUUCCAAUUAUGUGUCCAGAGACACAUUUUGGUCAAGUUUUUUUAAAAAAUGACUACGUCAAAAUAAAUAUUAAAAUAAUGUUGAAUGCAAUUGUUGCAGUUUUAAUGUUUUUUUCUUGGAAAUAAGAAAAAAUAACAGCAAACGUAACCCUGUUUGUGUAAAAUACAUAAACAUAAUUUUGAAUAAAACUAUUGGAGUAGUGUGCACAACGUAAAGAAUAAUAUACUGUAGACGGCAUACAUUGGAGAUUCAUAAUGUGAUAGUCAAACUUAAAUUUUAUGAUACUUGAAAGAAA